GUACACUCCUACGGGAGGCAGCAGUGGGGAAUAUUGGACAAUGGGCGCAAGCCUGAUCCAGCCAUGCCGCGUGAGUGAUGAAGGCCCUAGGGUUGUAAAGCUCUUUCACCGGUGAAGAUAAUGACGGUAACCGGAGAAGAAGCCCCGGCUAACUUCGUGCCAGCAGCCGCGGUAAUACGAAGGGGGCUAGCGUUGUUCGGAUUUACUGGGCGUAAAGCGCACGUAGGCGGACUAUUAAGUCAGGGGUGAAAUCCCGGGGCUCAACCCCGGAACUGCCUUUGAUACUGGUAGUCUUGAGUUCGAGAGAGGUGAGUGGAAUUCCGAGUGUAGAGGUGAAAUUCGUAGAUAUUCGGAGGAACGCCAGUGGCGAAGGCGGCUCACUGGCUCGAUACUGACGCUGAGGUGCGAAAGCGUGGGGAGCAAACAGGAUUAGAAACCCGAGUAGUCCC
rnacentral:rRNA from 1 species